GCGACGUGGGUGGUUCGCCGCCUGCGACGUCGCGAGAAUUCCACUGAACCUUAUCAUUUAGAGGAAGGAGAAGUCGUAACAAGGUUUCCGUAGGUGAACCUGCGGAAGGAUCAUUG
rnacentral:rRNA from 1 species